UACAGAGGGUGCGAGCGUUAUUCGGAAUUACUGGGCGUAAAGCGCACGUAGGCGGCGACGUAAGUCGGGUGUGAAAGCCCCGGGCUCAACCUGGGAAUUGCAUUCGAGACUGCAUUGCUGGAGUACGGAAGAGGAGGGCGGAAUUCCCGGUGUAGCGGUGAAAUGCGUAGAUAUCGGGAGGAACAUCAGUGGCGAAGGCGGCCCUCUGGUCCAGUACUGACACUCAAGUGCGAAAGCGUGGGGAGCAAACAGG
rnacentral:rRNA from 1 species